AUUGAACGCUGGCGGCAGGCCUAACACAUGCAAGUCGAGCGGAUGACGGGAGCUUGCUCCUGGAUUCAGCGGCGGACGGGUGAGUAAUGCCUAGGAAUCUGCCUGGUAGUGGGGGACAACGUUUCGAAAGGAACGCUAAUACCGCAUACGUCCUACGGGAGAAAGCAGGGGACCUUCGGGCCUUGCGCUAUCAGAUGAGCCGAGGUCGGAUUAGCUAGUUGGUGAGGUAAUGGGUCACCAAGGCGACGAUCCGUAACUGGUCUGAGAGGAUGAUCAGUCACACUGGAACUGAGACACGGUCCAGACUCCUACGGGAGGCAGCAGUGGGGAAUAUUGGACAAUGGCGAAAGCCUGAUCCAGCCAUGCCGCGUGUGUGAAGAAGGUCUUCGGAUUGUAAAGCACUUUAAGUUGGGAGGAAGGGCAGUAAGCGAAUACCUUGCUGUUUUGACGUUACCGACAGAAUAAGCACCGGCUAACUCUGUGCCAGCCGCCGCCGUAAUAC
rnacentral:rRNA from 1 species